rnacentral:lncRNA from 1 species
GGAAAAUCCAGUCUUUCACCAUUGUGUAUGAUAUUAGUUUGAGGUUUUUGUAGAUGAACUUUAUCAGUUCAGGAAAUUCCCCUGAGUAUUUCUCUUGAAAUAGCUUUGGUGGACAGGGCUGUAGUGUCAAAAUGAAUGAUUUGUGAAAGUUCUUUUAGGACUUCACGUCCUUUCCAUUAUUUAUAAUAAGGUUGGAAACAUUGCCCACUAAACACAGGUGUGUGUGUUCUUUCCCCUCACGCCCAGAAAAGACUGGAUGUUACAGAAGAAACUCUUUUUUCUCUCUUUUCCUCUCUCCCAAGUAUUUUCCCUAAUUGCUACCCAUAUGAAAGCAAACAGUCAAUUGUGGUGGGUAAAUAUAAUAGCUUCUUACCAUUCUAUCCUUAUGCUUGUAGGAUGCAGUACAUUUGUGCAUGAAUUUCUAUCAUACAUAUGCCAUGGGUGUUAUGUAAAAUAAGCUGCAGGAAGUCAGGAAAGGUGUCAACUCCAGAAAAAGUACCUCAACAAACUUCUAAAAGGAAAAGACAUUUAUCAAAUUCAACCAAGAAUUUAGUUCCCAGAAGAAUUGGCAUAUUAGGAUUUGGUCGGCAUUCUUGAAAAAGAAUUACUGAUUUGAUGAUGAUUAAAUGCACCAAUAUACUGCCAGAUGCUAAGUGGUACCUUUAAGAAGCUGAGACCCAAAAGCCAAUGAAGACUGGCCACCCAGGUAAAAAAAAAAAAGUCCCAGCCAAGGAAAACACAGCAUGGUAGAGUUAACUGAAUGGCGU